rnacentral:lncRNA from 1 species
UUCCUAUCUAGGGUCAUGUCCUCGGUGAGCUGUAACUGCUCCAUGUCUCGCCUAAUCACCUCACCCCAGUACUUCUUCGGCCUACCCCUACCCCGCUUAAAACCAUCCAACGCUAGCCUCUCACACCUACGGACCGGGGCAUCCACGCCCCUCCUCUUCACAUGUCCGAACCAUCUCAAUCGAGCUUCCCGCAUCUUGCACUCCACUGGUGUCACACCAACCUUCUCCUGGAUGUUCUCAUUCCG